rfam:Angiostrongylus costaricensis strain Costa Rica genome assembly, scaffold: ACOC_contig0003100
UGGGGUAUAGCUCAGUGGUAAAGCAUUCGACUGCAGAUCGAGAGGUCCGUGGUUCAACUCAGCGUCCCCUCC